AUUGAACGCUGGCGGCAUGCUUUACACAUGCAAGUCGAACGGUAACAGGCCGCAAGGUGCUGACGAGUGGCGAACGGGUGAGUAAUGCAUCGGAACGUGCCCAGUCGUGGGGGAUAACUACUCGAAAGAGUAGCUAAUACCGCAUACGAUCUAUGGAUGAAAGCGGGGGACCGUAAGGCCUCGCGCGAUUGGAGCGGCCGAUGUCAGAUUAGGUAGUUGGUGGGGUAAAGGCUCACCAAGCCAACGAUCUGUAGCUGGUCUGAGAGGACGACCAGCCACACUGGGACUGAGACACGGCCCAGACCCCUACGGGAGGCAGCAGUGGGGAAUUUUGGACAAUGGGCGCAAGCCUGAUCCAGCAAUGCCGCGUGCAGGAAGAAGGCCUUCGGGUUGUAAACUGCUUUUGUACGGAACGAAACGGCUCUGGUUAAUACCCGGGGCUAAUGACGGUACCGUAAGAAUAAGCACCGGCUAACUACGUG
rnacentral:rRNA from 1 species